rnacentral:rRNA from 1 species
GACGAACGCUGGCGGCGUGCUUAACACAUGCAAGUCGAACGCUGAAGCUUGGUGCUUGCACUGGGUGGAUGAGUGGCGGACGGGUGAGUAAUACGUGAGUAACCUGCCCUUGACUCUGGGAUAAGCCUGGGAAACUGGGUCUAAUACUGGAUACGACAUGUCACCGCAUGGUGGUGUGUGGAAAGGGUUUUACUGGUUUUGGAUGGGCUCACGGCCUAUCAGCUUGUUGGUGGGGUAAUGGCUCACCAAGGCGACGACGGGUAGCCGGCCUGAGAGGGUGACCGGCCACACUGGGACUGAGACACGGCCCAGACUCCUACGGGAGGCAGCAGUGGGGAAUAUUGCACAAUGGGCGGAAGCCUGAUGCAGCGACGCCGCGUGAGGGAUGACGGCCUUCGGGUUGAAAACCUCUUUCAGCGCGGAAGAAGCGAAAGUGACGGUACGUGCAGAAGAAGCGCCGGCUAACUACGUG